CAAAUACUCCCUCUGUCCCAAAUUUCUUGUCUUAGAUUUGUCUAGAUACGGAUGUAUCUAAUACUAAAAUGUGACUUGAUACAUCCGUAUCUAGACAAAUCUAAGACAAGAAUUUUGGGACGGAGGGAGUACUUU
rnacentral:pre_miRNA from 1 species